rnacentral:rRNA from 1 species
GAUUAAGUUAUUAAGGGCGCACGGUGGAUGCCUUGGCACUAGAAGCCGAUGAAGGACGUUACUAACGACGAUAUGCUUUGGGGAGCUGUAAGUAAGCUUUGAUCCAGAGAUUUCCGAAUGGGGAAACCCAGCAUGAGUUAUGUCAUGUUAUCGAUAUGUGAAUACAUAGCAUAUCAGAAGGCACACCCGGAGAACUGAAACAUCUUAGUACCCGGAGGAAGAGAAAGAAAAUUCGAUUCCCUUAGUAGCGGCGAGCGAAACGGGAAGAGCCCAAACCAACAAGCUUGCUUGUUGGGGUUGUAGGACACUCUAUACGGAGUUACAAAGGACGACAUUAGACGAAUCAUCUGGAAAGAUGAAUCAAAGAAGGUAAUAAUCCUGUAGUCGAAAAUGUUGUCUCUCUUGAGUGGAUCCUGAGUACGACGGAGCACGUGAAAUUCCGUCGGAAUCUGGGAGGACCAUCUCCUAAGGCUAAAUACUCUCUAGUGACCGAUAGUGAACCAGUACCGUGAGGGAAAGGUGAAAAGCACCCCGGAAGGGGAGUGAAAUAGAACCUGAAACCGUGUGCUUACAAGUAGUCAGAGCCCGUUAAUGGGUGAUGGCGUGCCUUUUGUAGAAUGAACCGGCGAGUUACGAUUUGAUGCAAGGUUAAGCAGUAAAUGUGGAGCCGUAGCGAAAGCGAGUCUGAAUAGGGCGUUUAGUAUUUGGUCGUAGACCCGAAACCAGGUGAUCUACCCUUGGUCAGGUUGAAGUUCAGGUAACACUGAAUGGAGGACCGAACCGACUUACGUUGAAAAGUGAGCGGAUGAACUGAGGGUAGCGGAGAAAUUCCAAUCGAACCUGGAGAUAGCUGGUUCUCUCCGAAAUAGCUUUAGGGCUAGCCUCAAGUGAUGAUUAUUGGAGGUAGAGCACUGUUUGGACGAGGGGCCCCUCUCGGGUUACCGAAUUCAGACAAACUCCGAAUGCCAAUUAAUUUAACUUGGGAGUCAGAACAUGGGUGAUAAGGUCCGUGUUCGAAAGGGAAACAGCCCAGACCACCAGCUAAGGUCCCAAAAUAUAUGUUAAGUGGAAAAGGAUGUGGCGUUGCCCAGACAACUAGGAUGUUGGCUUAGAAGCAGCCAUCAUUUAAAGAGUGCGUAAUAGCUCACUAGUCGAGUGACACUGCGCCGAAAAUGUACCGGGGCUAAACAUAUUACCGAAGCUGUGGAUUGUCCUUUGGACAAUGGUAGGAGAGCGUUCUAAGGGCGUUGAAGCAUGAUCGUAAGGACAUGUGGAGCGCUUAGAAGUGAGAAUGCCGGUGUGAGUAGCGAAAGACGGGUGAGAAUCCCGUCCACCGAUUGACUAAGGUUUCCAGAGGAAGGCUCGUCCGCUCUGGGUUAGUCGGGUCCUAAGCUGAGGCCGACAGGCGUAGGCGAUGGAUAACAGGUUGAUAUUCCUGUACCACCUAUAAUCGUUUUAAUCGAUGGGGGGACGCAGUAGGAUAGGCGAAGCGUGCGAUUGGAUUGCACGUCUAAGCAGUAAGGCUGAGUAUUAGGCAAAUCCGGUACUCGUUAAGGCUGAGCUGUGAUGGGGAGAAGACAUUGUGUCUUCGAGUCGUUGAUUUCACACUGCCGAGAAAAGCCUCUAGAUAGAAAAUAGGUGCCCGUACCGCAAACCGACACAGGUAGUCAAGAUGAGAAUUCUAAGGUGAGCGAGCGAACUCUCGUUAAGGAACUCGGCAAAAUGACCCCGUAACUUCGGGAGAAGGGGUGCUCUUUAGGGUUAACGCCCAGAAGAGCCGCAGUGAAUAGGCCCAAGCGACUGUUUAUCAAAAACACAGGUCUCUGCUAAACCGUAAGGUGAUGUAUAGGGGCUGACGCCUGCCCGGUGCUGGAAGGUUAAGAGGAGUGGUUAGCUUCUGCGAAGCUACGAAUCGAAGCCCCAGUAAACGGCGGCCGUAACUAUAACGGUCCUAAGGUAGCGAAAUUCCUUGUCGGGUAAGUUCCGACCCGCACGAAAGGCGUAACGAUUUGGGCACUGUCUCAACGAGAGACUCGGUGAAAUCAUAGUACCUGUGAAGAUGCAGGUUACCCGCGACAGGACGGAAAGACCCCGUGGAGCUUUACUGUAGCCUGAUAUUGAAAUUCGGCACAGCUUGUACAGGAUAGGUAGGAGCCUUUGAAACGUGAGCGCUAGCUUACGUGGAGGCGCUGGUGGGAUACUACCCUAGCUGUGUUGGCUUUCUAACCCGCACCACUUAUCGUGGUGGGAGACAGUGUCAGGCGGGCAGUUUGACUGGGGCGGUCGCCUCCUAAAAGGUAACGGAGGCGCUCAAAGGUUCCCUCAGAAUGGUUGGAAAUCAUUCAUAGAGUGUAAAGGCAUAAGGGAGCUUGACUGCGAGACCUACAAGUCGAGCAGGGUCGAAAGACGGACUUAGUGAUCCGGUGGUUCCGCAUGGAAGGGCCAUCGCUCAACGGAUAAAAGCUACCCCGGGGAUAACAGGCUUAUCUCCCCCAAGAGUUCACAUCGACGGGGAGGUUUGGCACCUCGAUGUCGGCUCAUCGCAUCCUGGGGCUGUAGUCGGUCCCAAGGGUUGGGCUGUUCGCCCAUUAAAGCGGUACGCGAGCUGGGUUCAGAACGUCGUGAGACAGUUCGGUCCCUAUCCGUCGUGGGCGUAGGAAAUUUGAGAGGAGCUGUCCUUAGUACGAGAGGACCGGGAUGGACAUACCUCUGGUGUACCAGUUGUCGUGCCAACGGCAUAGCUGGGUAGCUAUGUGUGGACGGGAUAAGUGCUGAAAGCAUCUAAGCAUGAA